AAGCUUUACAGAGGCUUGCUGAUAAUCCUAAGAUCGAAAAUGGAGAUUUUGCUCCAUUACUCAAAUGUGUUCUAAAGGUUAUUGCUAAAGAUACCAAUGUUAUGUUGGUAGCCCUUGCAGGAAAAUGCCUAGCUGGUAUUGCUAAAGGUCUUCGAAAAAAGUUUGCACCAUAUGCAGCUAAUAGUAUGUCAACUAUAAUAGAUAAAUUUAAAGAGAAGAAACCAACAGUAGUAGCAGCUUUAAGAGAAGCUAGUGAUGCUGUGUAUCUUACCACUAAUUUAGAGGUGAUGACUGAACAUGCUGUGGCUGCAUUAGAAAAUAAAAAUCCACAAAUUCGAGCUGAGACAGCAUUAUUACUAGGUCGUUGUUUCUGUAGAUGUACUCAAUCUAGUCUACCCAAAAAGAUGUUAAAAAUAUUUUGCACCAGUUUACUAAAGACUGUAAAUGAUACUACAGGGGAAGUGAGAGAAGCAUCAUUUCAAGCAUUAGGUACAGCUAUGAAAGUUGUCACAGAAAAAAAUAUAGCUCCUUUCCUAGUGGAUAUUGAUCCUAUUAAAUUGACCAAGAUUCAAGAAUGUUGUACUAAUGCUGUACUGUUAAAUGCUAAAGGUGAACCCCGAGGUGGAGGAGCAGCAGCUGCACCCAAAAUGUCUGAACCAAAAGUUGUUAAACCCAAUAGUGCUAAAGUUACCAAGCCUCCAGAAUCUAAACCACCAUCUGACACCGGCUCUAAACCGGC